rnacentral:lncRNA from 1 species
GUCAACUUGGAUUCUUAUUACCAGAAGGAAAGGAAAAUGAAAAUAGAGUAAGCAAAUAGUCUUCACCAUUCUCUCCUUUAACAAGAACGGAACAACUGAGGAGUGUUUUAAAGAAAGGAGACAAAAUUUUAUUGUGCUUUCCAACUGGCACAAGGUUCCUUACGUGCCGUACAACAAACCUCAAGAAGCAUUUUAUAGAUGUCAUGAAAUGGGACAAAACCUAGAAAAAAAGGUGACUACGCAGACUCUGGCAAUCAUGUACAUGAUGCAUGCAUACUGCUUGGACUUCAUUCAGAUGUAGACAGAGCCCUGCCAUUGACUUGAAUCAACUCCAUACCCUGUACAGAGACCAAAGUCACAAAACACAGACUUCAGUCUUCCCUCCUUUUUGAUCACUGUCUUGACACCUGGGGUCCCAUGAUUUUGGCA